GACAACUCGCUGAGGCCCAGUUUACGUUGGCGAAGCUUUGUUCUUUCACUCUUUGCGAUAAAUCUUGUUGUUGUUCACCGUUUGGGUCCGCGCUGCCUUUAUGAGCCGUAACACUCAACCGCGAAAGUCUGUAGCUUCACUCCUGAAGCUAGCGAGACCACGAACCCACCGGGAAGAAGAAAAAACUCCAGACGCACCGCCUUCAGAGCUGUAACACUCACUGGGAAGGUCUGUGGUUUCAGUCCUGAGCCCGUGAGACCACAGACCGACCAGUGGGAAGAAAUUCCGCACACAUCUGAACAUCAAAAGUAACAGACUCUGGAUAGGCCGCGUUUAAAAACUAUAACACUUACCACGAGCAUCCGUGGCUUCAUUCUUGAAGUUAGUGAGACCGAGAACCCAUUAAUUCCCGAAACACACUGGGCGCAAAUCUUCCCUUCUCAGUUUUCCAAGUAGCUGGGACUACAGGCGCCAACCACCAUGCCUGGCUAAUUUUUUUUGUAUUUUUAGUAGAGAUGGGGUUUCACUGUGUUAACCAAGAUGGUCUCAAUCUGACCUCGUGAUUCACCCGCCUCGGAUUCCCAAAGUGCUGGGCUUACAGGUGUGAGCCCGCACACCUGGCCACCAGUUAUUUUUCAAUUGUUCUGUUUCCCUGUUCUUGCCUUACUAAGAAAGUAAUUUUGAAAUGACCGAUCCGUUCUUUGUUUUUUGUUUCUGGUUUCUUCAGCUUAUUCUGUCUGUAAAACCUGCGUCCUCUGCUCCGCUCCAUGAAGACGCUCAUUCUGUUUUAUAGAAGUUAGUAAGUGUGAUAUAUCUAUUCUUUGUUUUUGUCUAUAGUUCCUGGCUGACAGCCCAUA
rnacentral:lncRNA from 10 species